CACACACACACACACACGCACACGCACACACAAAAAACUGAAUCCUGAUAAAAAGGAUUAAAUAAAAUACAUUAUAUAAAAGACAACUGAGACAGGGGUGGGGGUGAGGUUAGGCAUCUUGUUCCUGAGUGCUGGUAGGUUGGAGAUAGAUCCUUCAUCAGUCUACUCAUUAGUAAUGAGGAUGUUGCUCCAGUCUACAUUCCAACCCUCACCUGAGGUCAGGAGUAGGUCUGUCACGAUAGUCAAUAACUCAAUUAAUUGUAUGCUAAAUAAAUUUUGAGGUAGAUAAAGAAAACGAGGACGAUAAUUUUCAUUUGCCUGCUUGUUUGUUCACUUCGUCUCUCCCUCUCUAUGCUCCGGUGCACAGAGUGCUCAACGGACCCCCACCACCACCACCACCUGUUUUCUUAGUGUCGGGAGGAGGGAAGUCUUGCGUUAGGUAUUGCCAGGUGCGCGGUCUCGUACCUCUUUAGCAUGAGAACUUCUAGCAAAAACAAACUGAAGAAACGCUGUUGAGAUUCUGAAGAAUGGAGAUGGAACUGGUUUUAAAGCUGAACGCGACCAUUGAAUUGGGAGCACCUGGGUUCAAACCCAAUGACCGUGGUGAAACACUAACCUGUGCGGGCCGGUAUGCCAAAUUUGUUGUAAAAAAAAAAAAGGCAACUAAAAGUAGCAAUAUUACAAACUUGCAUCUGCAUGUAAAACAUAAUCAUCCAAUAUAGUUUUCCCAGCCGGGAAAAAAAAAAAAAAAAAAAACUGACGGGUCGUCUCAGUGUUCCCGACAGUCUACAAUAUUCAACCGACAAGCAACAUACAAAACGGGAAGUGAAGUUGUGCACACUCACAGACAGCAUAGUUCGCUUCAUCUCUAGAGAGAGGCUGCUCUUUAAUAUUGGUUUUUAUUUUUUUUUUGCCUGUUUUGCUUGUCAGGGCCUGAUGAUUAUUAUUUUUUGAAGAAUAUUUUGUUUACAAAAGUGGGAUGCUGUUGACCUCAACCUGUGAUGUCGUCGGAAGGUGGAAGGAAAUCUUCUGACCUUCUCAACCCCACCUUCUCUAAGUCUUCUAUGGAGAAAACAGAGUCUGAGGAGUUUGGGGCUGGGCUGUCCAUAACUGGAGCUGAGGUCGCUGAGGUAGUUAAAAAGGUCCACAGCAGCAGGGCUCCAGGGGUGGAUGAGGUCCGCCCUGAUUUCCUCCAGGCUCUGGAUGUUGUGGGGCUGCCCUGGUCGACACGCCUUUGCAACAUCGUGGACAUCGGGGGCAGUGCCACUGGAUUGGCAGACUGGGGUGGUGGUUUCUCUCUUUAAAAAGGGGGACCUGAUGGUGUGUUCCAAUUACAGGGGCAUCACUCUCCUUAGCCGCUCUUAUUUUGAAAAUACGAAAGUGCUUGUUCCUUUUCCUGUUGGUGCGAUGUGAUCUUUGCAGAUUGACUGCGGAGCAGCUCCAGCAUCCGGCAAAAAUAGGAUCAAAUCUAAUUUUGUUGGAUCGCCGUCAGCUCACUGUCGCCCUGCACCGCUGUGCGGAGCCAGUGUAAAUACUCUCAUUGAUUAUGGAUAUUUAUUUGCUGCGAAGGUCGGAGCGGAGCCACAUCUAGUGUAAAUUAGGGGGUAAUAGUUCAGAAAAAGGCAGCUGACAUGAUUCGUAGGGGGCCAGGGCUUGGCCUCAGAGCCAGGAGAAGCUCUGUCAUCCAGGAAAGAGCUACUGCUCCUCUGGAACUAAAAAGGAGUCAGCUGAUCAGGACCUGGACGUUCCCACUGAACAGAGAGACCCCAGGGCAGACCUAGAACGGGCGCGACCCACUCUGGGGACACUGGCAGGUGGGGAGUUUGACUGAGGCGGUACACCUGUGAAACAGUAACGCAGGUGUUUUAAGGCGAGCUCAGGGAGGACAGAAACCUCUAGUAGAGCAGAAAGGCAAAGGCUUGCUUGAUCUUGAUUUUCAGUAUGAAAUCCUCUCUGGUCUAGGAACAACAUGUGGACCCCCAGGAGGAGCUGGAGAGGGUCUCUGAGGAGAGGGAGGUCUGGGUUUCUCUCCUGGACCUGACUAAAGAGUCAGCAGUCCUUUUUGUGGAGCAUCCAUCCUCCGUUGUCUCUGUUUGCUGUAUCUCGAGCGAAGACACACUGAUGGAUUGAUGUACCAGCAGGUUUAUUCAGAGCCACAGAUACCAACAGCAACAUGAGAAAAAGUCUACAAACAUCACAAAUGAACACAAACUCAUGCUGUGUGCUCAGAAAAGAGAAACAUGUAGAAAAGUCAUCAUCAUUCAGGUGUGGCACCAGUCUUUACAUAAAUACACUUUUCUCUCUGACAUUA